UCUUGAUCUGCAGUCAAAUGCUCUACCACUGAGCUAUACCCCCAUUCAUUACAUGGGUUUCAGCCGUGAAUCUUAAUCCGUGUCAUUCUGUUCUAUCUGUCACUUUCCAUUAGCCGUGGGUAUCUGCUACGAAAGGAAGGGAUUUUCUCCUUUUCUUUUGAUAAUAAGAACCCAGGCUGGAGUGAAGUAUAUUCAUUUCUGGCCCUGUGGAGGAACACAAUGAGCAGUAAUAGCAAGGCUUGAUCGCGGGCUGGAAACUCAGGGUGAAAACGUCUCAAGCACAACGUUGUCCGACGACCCUGCGUGAACAUUCGGCGAGAAGCGCUUCGCAUUAAUGGCAGUGGUCGGGAUGCUGGAGGCAAUGAGAAGGACAAAUAACACGAGAUGGAGUCACUUAUUUACACUGCCUCAGGGUCAGCAUCCAUCCAUCUGAUGGCUGUGGAAGAAGGGCUAUGGAAAGAAAGGGAGGGCGUGCAGAGAAAGAGAGAAAUAAUGAGAGAGGGAGACUGAGAUGCAGCGAAAGGGUAGGAGGAGGUUUUGUAUGGAGUGGGCGGAUAUGACUGCAUAUUCAUGAAAGCUCUGUGAGUGAUCAGAUCGCUCAGGUGCGGGGGUAGGUCAGCGCUCAGUCAUGUCUGUUCAGUCUCUGAGAUCUGGCACACAGCAAUGUCACUGAGCACGUGUGAGUUUACACAGUUUUCCAGAUCCGUUUAACCCGUGUGGUUCCUCUUCUGCUUCUUUACUCCAAAUAUCAGGAAUCUUGGACCAGUGUUUUGUGACUGGAUACAUUCUAAAGCAAGGCAGGCAGGAAGCCAGGCUCCAGUGGUCAUGGCGACCACAGCUGAGUGGAACGGGCCAGCGUGUGUGUGGGUUGGGAAAUGGCUGCCAGGGUGUGGCUCAGUGGCAGGGCUGAGAGAGGCGGCACAGAGGAACGAGAGGGUCACAGCCCCAGUACAGAAUGGGAGACAGUGAGCAAUCGCUUAUGUGUCCACACACCCGCUCAUGUCAAUAAGGGCCAUCACAAGGAGAGGGAAAGGGCGUAUCAGCGAAGGCCUUUACAAGAGCAGCGUUCGUGUGAACUUGAACGCAGCCUCGCUCGCAUACCUCCAUCUUCUUGCAGUUUGUUACAACAUUGAAGUGAUUUUGAAUUGGCAGUGUGCUCCAAUUCAAUUCAGGAUCUGUUUGGGAAAUGACAGGAAAUGCAUUCUCUCUGAUGACCCUUACAGACGGAAGGGUCUGCAGACUUUCCUUUCGCUCGGCUCCUGUUUUUCAUCACCUGCGCGUUUCCACUACUGUCAGAGAAGACGGGAGCGUCGUCUGCGUGAAACUGACUCCAUUUUGAGCGCGCCAGACGGAGAAUGUUUGAAAGAAAGUCAUAACUCUGUGUGCUCGUUUGUUUCUGAGAGAGACAGAGGGAGUGGGACUAAGCGAAAGACAGUAAUUCUGUGCGUGUGUAUAUAUGUGCAUAUAUGUGUGUAUCACAGAGAUAAAUUAGCUAUGUGCGUAUAAUAUGCAUGCAGCGAGAGAGACAUGGUGUGGGUGUACAUGUGUGCGAGUUUGUGAGAAAGAUAAAUUAAUAACUCUGUGUAUAUUUGCAUACAGUGAA